rnacentral:snRNA from 1 species
GUGAUUACUUUACAAGAACAUAUGCUAAAACUGAAUGAAACAGAGAUCAGCAUAGCCCCUGGGCAAGGAUGACGAACCAAUUUGUAAAAUGAUCUGUUUUUAA